rnacentral:rRNA from 1 species
UACAGAGGUCUCAAGCGUUGUUCGGAUUCAUUGGGCGUAAAGGGUGCGUAGGCGGCGCGGUAAGUCGGGUGUGAAAUCUCGGAGCUUAACUCCGAAACUGCAUUCGAUACUGCCGUGCUUGAGGACUGGAGAGGAGACUGGAAUUUACGGUGUAGCGGUGAAAUGCGUAGAUAUCAGGAGGAACACCGGUGGCGAAGGCGGUUCUCUGGGCCUUACCUGACGCUGAGGAGCGAAAGCGUGGGGAGCGAACAGG